UUUUCAGAUAAAUAUUACCAUUUUUAUGCAAUCUGCUUUGGACUGGGAUGUGGAGUAGCGCUCUAUAGGCCCUUUCGUUCUCUUGUACUUCCAUUAGUUCUUUCUGUGGUUUUCACCAUAAUAUUUGAGGUUUUUGGCAUGACGUGUGGCCUACCAGCCCAUACAAAGAAAUGCAAAGGCUGUCCAUAUGAGAGAGGAGAUGUUUGCUGGGGAUUUUGUUUUGCA